rnacentral:tRNA from 10 species
GGCCCAUUGGUCAAGAGGUCAAGACGUCACCCUCUCACGGUGAAAUCAUGGGUUCGAUUCCCGUAUGGGUCACCA